rnacentral:misc_RNA from 1 species
GAUGAAGAACGUAGUGAAAUGCGAUAGGUAAUGUGAAUUGCAGAAUUCAGUGAAUCAUCGAAUCUUUGAACGCACAUUGCGCCCGUCAGUAUUCUGGCGGGCAUGCCUGUUCGAGCGUCAUUACGCCCCUCAAGUCCCCUGUGGACUUGGUGUUGGGGAUCGGCGAGGCUGGUUUUCCAGCACAGCCGUCCCUUAAAUUAAUUGGCGGUCUCGCCGUGGCCCUCCUCUGCGCAGUAGUAAAACACUCGCAACAGGAGCCCGGCGCGGUCCACUGCCGUAAAACCCCCCAACUUUUUAUAGUUGACCUCGAAUCAGGUAGGACUACCCGCUGAACUUAAGCAUAUCAAUAAGCGGAGGA